rnacentral:rRNA from 1 species
GACGAACGCUGGCGGCGUGCCUAAUACAUGCAAGUCGAACGCACAGUUUAUACCGUAGCUUGCUACACCAUAGACUGUGAGUUGCGAACGGGUGAGUAACGCGUAGGUAACCUGCCUGGUAGCGGGGGAUAACUAUUGGAAACGAUAGCUAAUACCGCAUAAUAUUAAUUAUUGCAUGAUAAUUAAUUGAAAGGUGCAAUUGCACCACUACCAGAUGGACCUGCGUUGUAUUAGCUAGUAGGUGAGGUAACGGCUCACCUAGGCGACGAUACAUAGCCGACCUGAGAGGGUGAUCGGCCACACUGGGACUGAGACACGGCCCAGACUCCUACGGGAGGCAGCAGUAGGGAAUCUUCGGCAAUGGACGAAAGUCUGACCGAGCAACGCCGCGUGAGUGAAGAAGGGUUUCGGAUCGUAAAGCUCGGUUGUAAGAGAAGAACGGGUGUGAGAGUGGAAAGUUCACACUGUGACGGUAUCUUACCAGAAAGGGACGGCUAACUACGUG